UUGACCUCGGAUCAGGUAGGGAUACCCGCUGAACUUAAGCAUAUCAAUAAGCGGAGGAAAAGAAACCAACAGGGAUUGCCCCAGUAACGGCGAGUGAAGCGGCAACAGCUCAGAUUUGAAAUCCGGCCUCGGCCCGAGUUGUAAUCUGCAGGGGAUGCCCCUGGCGAGACGCCCACCGAGUUCCCUGGAACGGGACGCCAUAGAGGGUGAGAGCCCCGUAUGGUGGGAUGUCGAGCCUCUGUGGGGCUCCUCCGACGAGUCGAGUAGUUUGGGAAUGCUGCUCAAAGCGGGAGGUAAAUCUCUUCUAAAGCUAAAUACCGGCCAGAGACCGAUAGCGCACAAGUAGAGUGAUCGAAAGAUGAAAAGCACCUUGGAAAGGGGGUUAAACAGUACGUGAAAUUGUUGAAAGGGAAGCGCCUGUGACCAGACUCGCGCCGGGCGGAUCAUCCAGCGUCAGCUGGUGCACUCCGCCCGGCGCGGGCCAGCAUCGGUUCCCGCGGGGGGACAAGAGCGGCGGGAAUGUGGCUCCCCCGGGAGUGUUAUAGCCCGCCGCACGAUGCCCUCUCGGGGACCGAGGAUCGCGCUCUGCAAGGAUGCUGGCGUAAUGGUCACCGGCGACCCGUCUUGAAACACGGACCAAGGAGUCGUCCAUUACGGCGAGCGUUUGGGUGUCAAACCCCUACGCGUAAUGAAAGUGAACGCAGGUGAGAGCUUCGGCGCAUCAUCGACCGAUCCUGAUGUACUCGGAUGGAUUUGAGUAAGAGUCGUACCGGACGGACCCGAAAGAUGGUGAACUAUGCCUGUAUAGGGUGAAGCCAGAGGAAACUCUGGUGGAGGCUCGCAGCGGUUCUGACGUGCAAAUCGAUCGUCAAAUAUGGGCAUGGGGGCGAAAGACUAAUCGAACCAUCUAGUAGCUGGUUACCGCCGAAGUUUCCCUCAGGAUAGCAGUGUUGUCUUCAGUUUUAUGAGGUAAAGCGAAUGAUUAGGGACUCGGGGGCGCUCUUUAGCCUUCAUCCAUUCUCAAACUUUAAAUAUGUAAGAAGCCCUUGUUACUUAGCUGAACGUGGGCAUUCGAAUGUAUCAACACUAGUGGGCCAUUUUUGGUAAGCAGAACUGGCGAUGCGGGAUGAACCGAACGCGGGGUUAAGGUGCCGGAGUGGACGCUCAUCAGACACCACAAAAGGUGUUAGUACAUCUUGACAGCAGGACGGUGGCCAUGGAAGUCGGAAUCCGCUAAGGACUGUGUAACAACUCACCUGCCGAAUGUACUAGCCCUGAAAAUGGAUGA
rnacentral:rRNA from 1 species